GCUUUCAUUGACGCAUGAUGUUGCACAUUUGGAAUUUUUUCCAUUCUAUAGUUUGAUAUUUUUGCAGAAAAGAUAAAACAACAUGGAGGGAGAGGCCAUUAAUCAAGGUAAAGAACUGGUAGAUGCCUAUGUGACUUUGGAGGAUGAAGGUGAAGAAUGCUGUGUUGUUGAGGAUGUUGAAGCUCCUAUGGUUGUGGACGGUGGAAAGAAUGAAGAUUCUAUGAACCUUGACUUAUCUUCAUGUCUGCUUGGUGGAAUCAUUGAACCGACCACAGAUAUGGAGUUUGCUUCUGAAGAGGAUGCUAGGAAUUUCUACAAUGCAUAUGCUAAGCAGAUGGGCUUUAGCAUCCGUGUAAACUCAUAUUACCGUUCAAAGAAGGAUAACUCUAUAAUUUCUCGAGAAUUUUGUUGCUCGAAAGAAGGUUUUCGUCGAGAGAAACGUGCAAGAAAGAUUGAUUCAAGUGAUGAUGCCAAAAAGAGAAGGGCCCGACCAAUCACUAGGGAAGGUUGUAAGGCACUGAUGACAGUAAGAAGACGAGAUUCUGGGACAUGGUAUGUUGCAAAAUUGGAAAAGAACCAUAAUCAUGAAUUGGUGACUCCAGAGAUGCGGCAUUUUCUUCGAUCACAUCGGCAGGAUUAUGAUCCAAAGAGAAGUUUGAUUAAUAUUCUUGGAUCCCCUGGGAUGGGUACAAGCAGUACUGUGAAUGUCUUAACUGAAGAGUGUGACAGUUAUGACAAGAUUGGAUUUGACUCCCAAGACCAGAGUAAUUAUAUUGGGAAAGGACGGCUAAGCGCCUUUGGUAUUGAUGCCCAAAAUCUCUUGGGAUUCUUCAAGAUAAUGCAAACGAAUGAUCCUGCAUUCUUUUAUGCUAUCCAGGUUGAUGAAGAAGAUCGACUGAGCAGUGUUUUUUGGGUUGACACGAGAUCAAAAAUUGCUUACAACUGCUUUUCUGAUGUGGUUGCCUUUGAUACAACUUACCAAGUGAAUCAGUACAAAAUGCCAUUUGCUCCAUUUACUGGAGUUAAUCAUCAUAAGCAGUCAGUAUUGUUUGGUUGUGCAUUGCUUGCAGAUGAGACUGAAUCAACAGUUAUUUGGCUUUUCAAAACCUGGCUUGAAGCAAUGUCUGGUCGCCAACCUGGCUUAAUAAUAACUGAUCAUGAUUUGAAUAUAAAGAAUGCAGUGGCAAAGGUUUUCCCGAACUCCUGCCAUCGAUAUUGCAAGUGGCAUAUCCUGGGCAAAAUGCCAAAGGAAUUGGGGCAUGUGUAUAGUACACUUCCAAAAGCAUUUCAAUUGGAGUUUGAUAAGUGCAUCAACAAGAGUGAGACGAUUGAAGAGUUUGAAUUAGCUUGGCAGUCUCUUCUUCAUAAGUACAACCUGAGGGAGAAUGAAUGGCUUCAAUCCUUAUACUUUGAUCGUAAAGAGUGGGUUCCAAUAUACUUACUGGACACAUUCUUUGCAGGGAUGUCUGCAACCCAUCGUGGUGGAUCUGUGACAUCACUUUUUGAUGGGUAUGUGAAUGCAAGAACUACUUUACAAGAUUUUGCAGAGCAGUAUGAGAAGGCUUUGGAUGACCGGUUUGAGAAAGAAGCAAGGGCAGAGUUUGACACAUUUUACACUAAACCAGUCCUGAAGACACCACUGCCUAUAGAAAAACAAGCUGCAGAAAUUUAUACGAGGAAAAUGUUCACCUUAUUCCAGGAUGAAAUUUUUGAAUCUCUUGUGCUUGCUGUUAAAAAAAUUAGGGAGGAUGGUGAAAUCAGUACUUAUGAGGUAGCAAGAUUUGAUGAAGAACAUAGAGUAUACUCUGUUGGGUUUAUUUUUUCUGAACAAAGAGCUAGUUGCAGCUGCAGGAUGUUCGAGUCUGAAGGCAUCCUCUGUAGACAUGUGCUUGCUGUGUUCAAAGCAACAAAUGUCUUUACGUUGCCACCACAUUAUAUCUUGAAACGAUGGACAAGAAAUUCGAAAGAUGAUGCCGUAUUGGACUUAAUAACUCCUGUUGAGAUGCAAGCCAAUUCUCAGAAGGCAAAAAGCUUUCAAUACAAUGUUCUAUUACAGGAAGCCAUUAAAUGUGCAGAGGAAGGGGUUGCAUCUGACCAUAGUUUUAAGGUGGCAUUAAGUGCUUUACGAGAGGCUAGGAAUAAAAUUUUUGAGGCAAAGAAAAAUGCAGCUAAUGCCCCCAAACUGGAAACCAUGGUCAGUGCAGGUUAUCAGGAUGUGAACCCAGCUUGGAGUCAGGUUGAUAAUUCAAUCUCCAUAAUCUCUGUUGAUCUCCGUAAAACCAAUAGGAGAGAAUCUCCAAUAAAUGGUAGCAUUUCCCAAGCCGUUCUGGAGCAGUCAAUGAGUAGAAUUAAGUCAUGCACAAAAUGUAAGUGUCCUGGACAUGAUAGUCGUACUUGCUUGUGGUUGAAAGAUUCAGGCCCAAGUGCCACUAUGGGUCAGCAAAAUCAACCCUUAGAGUCUAUGGCCUGUCCAUGUGGGACCCAAGACAAUCUUACUCAAAGUUAAAGGUCCAUCUGGAUGAAAGUGAGCAAAACAUCCAAUUGAUCAUAUUUUUCUUCGAUCUUCUAAUGCAGUUGUGUCUACCCUGACUUCUUGCAGAUUUGAUUUGGUUACCCACAAAUGGUAAACACUAUAUGAAGUAAGAAGGCUAUGUCAUUCCACCCUAUGUUCUGUAUAAUGUAGGCAUUGCAUGGUUUGCAUCCUCUUUGAGCCUGAUUAUUGUCCUUUGGCUCCUUUGUUGAUUGUGGGUUGUAAUUUUCAUUUUAGGGAGAUUGUAGAUAUGGGCUCCAAGUGUCAUCUCUUGUACACAUGAUAACUAUGAAGGGGGCCAGAAAAAAACACCAUUCAUCAAGCUACUUAGUUGUAUGUAUAGGAUGGUUAUGAUAUUCAACCAGGUCAAUUAUUCAUGUGAAAUCUAGCCAGUGGAACCCAUUAAAUUGUGAAUCCUGCACUCUUGAUGUAUAUUAAUUUAUUAUGGUCUGUAGUGGAGGUCUGUAAGUUCUGGAGUGCUGAUCAUCUACUUCAAAAAUUUUUUUGGUCAGCUACUAUCUAUUUGCAGACCUCCUUGUAGUCCCAACUUGUGUGCUGUUUGUGAUUUUCAUUCAUUGAUUUCAGAAAGCAGCAGGAUACACUUUCCGCCAGACAUAAUUUUUUAUCUCCGGUCAUGUACUUCGCCCGGUAGGUGGCUAGGUGCUCUUCGACACCAUGGUUGUUUGAGCAGGAAAGAGGAGUGUUAUCGCAGCAACCAAUGAUGAUUGACAGUUGCAGUUGGUAAAUGGAGGAAGAAGCUUCUGUAUUAUUGUGUAAUUGUGUUCUUUGUGGAACUUUUGGUAGGUGUCUGAGUCACUAGUCAAUUAGUUGUUUCUUAGACAAUUUGCUAAAUAUAUCAUCAUUGGAAAACCUCAUUGCAGUA